UACAAAGGGGGGCGAGCGUUGUUCGGAAUUACUGGGCGUAAAGCGCGCGUAGGCGGCUUUGCAAGUCGGGUGUGAAAUCCCCGGGCUUAACCUGGGAACUGCAUUGGUGACUGGCAGGCUUUGAGUGUGGCAGAGGGAGGUAGAAUUCCACGUGUAGCAGUGAAAUGCGUAGAGAUGUGGAGGAAUACCGAUGGCGAAGGCAGCCUCCUGGGCCAACACUGACGCUCAUGCACGAAAGCGUGGGGAGCAAACAGG
rnacentral:rRNA from 1 species